rnacentral:rRNA from 1 species
AUUGAACGCUGGCGGCAUGCCUAACACAUGCAAGUCGAACGGCAGCACGGUCCAGUUUACUGGAUGGGUGGCGAGUGGCGGACGGGUGAGUAACGCGUAGGAAUAUGCCUUAAAGAGGGGGAUAACUUGGGGAAACUCAAGCUAAUACCGCAUAAUCUCUUAGGAGAAAAGCUGGGGACCUUUGGGCCUGGCGCUUUAAGAUUAGCCUGCGUACGAUUAGCUAGUUGGUGGGGUAAGGGCCUACCAAGGCGACGAUCGUUAGCUGGUCUGAGGAGAUGGCCAGCCAAACUGGAACUGGGACACGGUCCAGACUCCUACGGGAGGCAGCAGUGGGGAAUAUUGGACAAUGGGGGGAACCCUGAUCCAGCAAUGCCGCGUGUGUGAAGAAGGCCUGAGGGUUGUAAAGCACUUUCAGUGGGGAGGAGGAUUGACAGGUUAAGAGCUAGUUAAUUGGACGUUACCCACAGAAGAAGCACCGGCUAACUCCGUGCCAGCAGCCGCAGUAA